ACCAGUUUAGUUAUAACAGUUGAAACAAUGAUUUUGCUUAAAAAUUUAUUUUUUGUGCUUUUAAUUAGCAUAAACAUUGUGUCUAUUUUCUGUUCGGUAGAACCAUGUGUUAAGCAAGAUGACGAAAUAACAAAAUGGCCGUUGGCUACUUGUGAGGAUGAUUCCAGAGGCUCACACUUUGAUUUAUUCAUGAAAAAAAUUGAGGAACAACUAUUUCCAGUGAAUACUAUAACAAAUGAAGUAGUAGUGGCAGGUGACGACAUUUGGGCAAACAGUAAAAUUUUAUAUGCAAAAUAUCGUGAUUGCAUCCAACAGUGUCAAAUGUACGCACAAACUGAAGAUCUCUUCAGAAAUGGUAUGAAACGCAUCCGUCAAUUAAUGACAGCUGACAUUGAGACAUGGACGCGUGGGAGUAUGUCUAAACAGUUGUUUGCUUGUGAUAGUAUCGAAGAAUGCAGGAAAAUUGAGUAAUUAACUUAGGAAUUACGUUAAUUGUACCAGUAUUAAUAAAAUUUAAUCGCUA